GUCUUUUGGCGGGAGUAACUAUGACUCUCUUGUCUCCUAUGGCAUGCACGCCUUGGAUUCGGGGUGAGAGCAGAUGGUUGCUUGCUCGCGCAAAGUCGAACUCCCACCUGCUCGUGGUGUCCGCCGCAAGACUAGUGAGCCUAAAGGGGGUGCAUCCCUGGCGAACUCGUCUUCAACGGGAGCUCUCGCAUUCCUUCGGGGGGGGUGACCCUGCCCCCCCACACCGGCUUGGCUAUCAUGGAAAAGGGACUCCUAAGACCCUGACCGAGUGGUCGGGGUUCCAAGUCUGGAGUCGGGCUGACUGCACUUAUGACGCCAUAAACACACCAAGCUGGAUAGGUGCUUGGCUGAAGCCUAUGUGGGUCCUGUCAUGGGGCAUCUGGUGAGGGCUUUUGCCCUCCCACUUGAGCGUUGUACGUUGGCCAGGCUUCGUUUUUUCGCCCCUGCUUUCUGGAGCACGGGGCGGUUUGGGUUCCUCUGCCCAGCUACCAUCAGAGUGACAAUCAAAGCUUCUUCACCAGUUUCUGGGGAGGCUCUACCACGAGGCCGGUACCGGCCUCUUCCGGGUUGUGGGCCUUGAGCUCAGCUUCCUGUGGAGUCGGGAGCCCUGCCCAUGUAACAUCUCCGGGCAGGGGAGCCGCCUGGCCUUGACUGGCCUUGUGGUUCCCCAGCACUCUUGGAGAAACAGGCAAUAGCCAAAUGCCUCGUCAUCUAAUUAGUGACGCGCAUGAAUGGAUUAACGAGAUUCCCACUGU
rnacentral:ncRNA from 1 species